ACAAAAAAAAUCUGCACCCCCAUCUCAUCUGAUCUCGGAAGCUAAGCAGGGUCGGGCCUGGUUAGUACUUGGAUGUGAGGCUGCCUGGGAAUACCAGGUACUGUA
rnacentral:rRNA from 1 species